rnacentral:rRNA from 1 species
AGAGCGAACGCUGGCGGCAGGCUUAACACAUGCAAGUCGAGCGGGCGUAGCAAUACGUCAGCGGCAGACGGGUGAGUAACGCGUGGGAACGUACCUUUUGGUUUGGAACAACUGAGGGAAACUUCAGCUAAUACCGAAUAAGCCCUUACGAGGAAAGAUUUAUCGCCGAAAGAUCGGCCCGCGUCUGAUUAGCUUGUUGGUGAGGUAAUGGCUCACCAAGGCGACGAUCAGUAGCUGGUCUGAGAGGAUGAUCAGCCACAUUGGGACUGAGACACGGCCCAAACUCCUACGGGAGGCAGCAGUGGGGAAUAUUGGACAAUGGGCGCAAGCCUGAUCCAGCCAUGCCGCGUGAGUGAUGAAGGCCCUAGGGUUGUAAAGCUCUUUGUGCGGAAGAUAAUGACGGUACCGCAAGAAUAAGCCCGGCUAACUUCGCGCCAGCAGCCGC